AUUGAACGCUGGCGGCAGGCCUAACACAUGCAAGUCGAACGAGUGGCGGACGGGUGAGUAAUGUCUGGGAAACUGCCUGAUGGAGGGGGAUAACUACUGGAAACGGUAGCUAAUACCGCAUACCAUCAGAUGUGCCCAGGUGGGAUUAGCUUGUUGGUGGGGUAAUGGCUCACCAAGGCGACGAUACCUAGCUGGUCUGCGAGGAUGACCAGCCACAUGGGGACUGAGACACGGCCCUGACUCCUACGGGAGGCAGCAGUGGGGAAUAUUGCGCAAGGGGGGCAAGCCUGAUGCAGCCAUGCCGCGUGAAUGAAGAAGGCCUUCGGGUUGUAAAGUACUUUCAGCGGGGAGGCGUUACCCGCAGAAGAAGCACCGGCUAACUCCGUGCCAGCAGCCGCGGUAAUAC
rnacentral:rRNA from 1 species